ensembl:snoRNA
UGGCCAAGACUCAGUGGACUUGGAAAAUAAAUUCUUAUUGCUGUGGACAUGACCAUAAAAAAACUUCCACUGGGUUUUCUAUCUGCUAUUUUGCUAGCACUCAGCCUACUGGGGACAUUU